UAACAGCUCAAAUUUGAAAUCUGGCUCCUCUGGAGUCCGAAUUGUAAUUAGUAGAAGAUGCUUUGGGUUGUGGGUUCGGCCUAAGUUCCUUGGAACAGGACGUCAUAGAGGGUGAGAAUCCCGUAUGUGGCCGAGGCCCGCGCCUAUGUAAAGCUCUUUCAACGUGUCGAGUUGUUUGGGAAUGCAGCUCAAAAUGGGUGGUAAAUUUCAUCUAAAGCUAAAUAUGGGCCAGAGACCGAUAGCGCACAAGUAGAGUGAUCGAAAGAUGAAAAGCACUUUGGAAAGAGAGUUGAACAGUACGUGAAAUUGUUGAAAGGGAAGCGCUUGCACCCAGACUUGGGCGCUGCUGAUAACCUUGAGGUCUCCUCGAGUGCACUCGACAGCGCACAGGCCAGCAUCGGUUCGGGUGACUGGAUAAAGGCCGUAGGAACGUAGCUCUCUUCGGGGAGUGUUAUAGCCUACGGUGCCAUGCAGCCCAGCCGGACCGAGGACCGCGCCUUCGUGCUAGGAUGCUGGCGUAAUGGGUGUAAGCGACCCG
rnacentral:rRNA from 1 species